GGGCCAGUAGUUUAAUUGGUUAAAACACUGUUCUGCAAAAAUAGGAAUGCGGGUUCAAACCCCGUCUGGUCCA
rnacentral:tRNA from 1 species